GAAACCAGCACCCGAGCAGCGGGACUCGGGGACUGGUCAAGAAGGGGCCGAGAAGGUUUUGGAUUGGGAGUUGGGGUUGGUGCGGCGGCGGUGGUGGUUGGUGAGCUGGCGUCGCGGCCGAAGCAGGGGUUUGUGUCUGCGGCGGCUGGCGGAUCAGCAGCGGCUCGUGGGAAGAGAUUGUUCCUUUGGGAAGUAGCCAAGCAGGGGUAGGGGGCGCGUGGGUCGCGGACGAAAGAGAGCUCCUUUCGGCAGCAGGCGGGAGGUAGGGGUGGUGUUAUUGCUGGAGGAGGUGUUCAAAGGAGGCGGCUCGUCCGGAGGAGGAUGAGGAGUUCGAAAGAGGGGGCUCGUCCCGGAGGAGGAGGUGCUCGUAGGAAGGGACUCGUGAUUCAACCCCAGCGGAGGACAAAGGGAGUGGGCUCGUCGCCCGGAAGGACAUGUCGGGGGGAGGGCUCUUCGAGGUGGAGGAGAUGUAGGAGGGGGUCCACGUCGCGGCGGAGGAACGAGUGGCUCUCGUGAACCGGCGACUCUCACUGAAUAUUCAAGUACCGUUUUCGUCGUUGUGCUCAUGCGUUGGUGUUCGUUCGACUCCUCAAUGGAGACUCUCAACUAUGUAAAAUGACAGAGCUCUAAGAAAACCGCAGGGACUUGUCAAAGGCGACUAGGUUUAAUAGUAGGGAGUACAAUACCCGGAGUUUCUCAUCGACUUUCUGAGUAAAUUCGACGUUCACAUAUUCAGAUCGUUUACGUCAUUACACUGGUGUUCGGUCAACUCCUCCAAAGAGUUCUAUGUGUUCAACAACCUCCAAACCUUCUACAUGUUCAACGACCUCCAAAACUUCCAGACUGUUCAACGACCUCACUACUAUAUAUACAUUAUACAGAACAAACAGCUUGGAGGUAUAUAACUGUUCAAAAUGUGACCAGUAAAACCACCAACAAAGUCGUCUGUUCGGUAACAUACGGUUAAAACCAACACACCGUGCUAAAGAAAUGGAAUUUGUAUACAUGAAACGUAAAACUCCGUAUUACAGAUAUAUACAUACCAAGUACGUACACAAUUUUUGUAUACAAAAACCAGAUAAAUACAAUAACGUACUCCAGAAUGUACAUUAGACUAACUUGUAUACACAUUCAACACACUAGACAGGACCGACAAACUUGUAUUACUAACCUAUAAAUUAGUCCC
rnacentral:rRNA from 1 species